rnacentral:rRNA from 1 species
CGGCGAGUGAAGCGGCAACAGCUCAAAUUUGAAAUCUGGCUCUUUCAGAGUCCGAGUUGUAAUUUGCAGAGGGCGCUUUGGCUUUGGCAGCGGUCCAAGUUCCUUGGAACAGGACGUCACAGAGGGUGAGAAUCCCGUACGUGGUCGCUAGCUAUUGCCGUGUAAAGCCCCUUCGACGAGUCGAGUUGUUUGGGAAUGCAGCUCUAAAUGGGAGGUAAAUUUCUUCUAAAGCUAAAUAUUGGCCAGAGACCGAUAGCGCACAAGUAGAGUGAUCGAAAGAUGAAAAGCACUUUGGAAAGAGAGUCAAACAGCACGUGAAAUUGUUGAAAGGGAAGCGCUUGCAGCCAGACUUGCUUGCAGUUGCUCAUCCGGGCUUUUGCCCGGUGCACUCUUCUGCAGGCAGGCCAGCAUCAGUUUGGGCGGUGGGAUAAAGGUCUCUGUCACGUACCUCUCUUCGGGGAGGCCUUAUAGGGGAGGCGACAUACCACCAGCCUAGACUGAGGUCCGCGCAUCCUGCUAGGGAUGCUGGGCGUAAUGGCUGUA